AUUGAACGCUGGCGGCAUGCUUUACACAUGCAAGUCGGACGAGUGGCGGACGGGUGAGUAAUAUAUCGGAACGUACCGAAUAAUGGGGGAUAACUAAUCGAAAGAUUAGCUAAUACCGCAUACUAUUCGAGCUGCCCAUAUCUGAUUAGCUAGUUGGUUGGGUAAAGGCCUACCAAGGCGACGAUCCGUAGCGGGGCUGAGAGGAUGAUCCGCCACACUGGGACUGAGACACGGUCCAGACUCCUACGGGAGGCAGCAGUGGUGAAUUUUGGACAAGGGGCGCAAGCCUGCUCCAGCCAUGCCGCGGGUCUGAAGAAGUCCUUCGGGUUGUAAAGGACUUUUGUCAGGGAAGCGGUACCUGAAGAAUAAGCACCGGCUAACUACGUGCCAGCCGCCGCGGUAAUUC
rnacentral:rRNA from 1 species